GUUCAGUUCAUCAGAAGAGAUCAGAACCAGAGCCCAGCUGUGUGUUUAUGAAGAGUGACGAGUCUAUAGAUCAUCCACAACAUUUCAGUUCAGUUCAGCAGAAGAAAUCAGAACCAGAGCCCAGCUGUGUGUCUAUGAAGAGUAACGAAUCUUUGCAUCAUCCAGUUAAUUUUAAGAGCGAAGACACAAGGUCAAUCCUGCCACCCAGAUCAGAAACAAAACCCGUCUGUAAGAAAUAUGACCAGACUAUGAAUCAACCACAA